GGGGGUAUGGUGCAGUGGUAGCAUGUACGCUUUGCAUUGUCUCGAUGAUUGCGUAAGGUCCGGGGUUCAAACCCCCGUGUCUCCA
rfam:Rhodosporidium toruloides NP11 unplaced genomic scaffold Scaffold17, whole genome shotgun sequence.